rnacentral:rRNA from 1 species
UACGAAGGGGGCUAGCGUUGCUCGGAAUCACUUGGGCGUAAAGCGCACGUAGGCGGCUUUUAAGUCAGAGGUGAAAUCCUGGAGCUCAACUCCAGAACUGCCUUUGAAUACUUGAAGAUCUUGAGUUCGGGAGAGGUGAGUGGAACUGCGAGUGUAGAGGUGAAAUUCGUAGAUAUUCGCAAAGAACACCAGUGGCGAAGGCGGCUCAACUGGCUCGUAACUGACGGCUCAUGCACUGACAGCUGGGAUCAAACAGG